CCCCUAGAUGUUCUGGGCCGCACGCGCGCUACACUGAACAAUUCAACAAGUCUUAACCUUGGCCGAUAGGUCUGGGUAAUCUUUGAACGCUGUUCGUGAUUGGGAUAGACCUUUGCAAUUAUGGGUCUUCAACGAGGAAUUCCUAGUAAACGCAAGUCAUCAGCUUGCAUUGAUUACGUCCCUGCCCUUUGUACACACCGCCCGUCGCACCUACCGAUUGAAUGGUCCGGUGAAAUCUCGGGACGGCGGCUUGGUCGCUUGCGUCCGACUGCUGAAACUUGAUUAAACCAUAUCAUUUAGAGGAAGGUGAAGUCGUAACA
rnacentral:rRNA from 1 species